GAUGAAUGCUGGCGGCGUGCCUAACACAUGCAAGUCGAGCGGUAACAGGAGUAGUUUACUACUUGCUGACGAGCGGCGGACGGCUGAGUAACGCGUGGGAACGUGCCCCAAAGUGAGGAAUAACUGCCCGAAAGGGUAGCUAAUACCGCAUAUGAUCUUCGGAUUAAAGGAUUUAUCCGCUUUGGGAGCGGCCCGCGUACGCUUAGGUAGUUGGUGAGGUAAUGGCUCACCAAGCCGACGAUCGUUAACUGGUCUGAGAGGAUGAUCAGUCAGACUGGAACUGAGACACGGUCCAGACUCCUACGGGAGGCAGCAGUGAGGAAUCUUCCACAAUGGGCGAAAGCCUGAUGGAGCAACGCCGCGUGCAGGAUGAAGGCCUUCGGGUUGUAAACUGCUUUUAUAAGUGAAGAAUAUGACGGUAACUUAUGAAUAAGCACCGGCUAACUACGUGCCAGCAGCCGCCGUA
rnacentral:rRNA from 1 species